rnacentral:misc_RNA from 1 species
AAAGCGCGAUAACUAUUGCGAACUGCAGGAUAUACUGAGCAGCAAUAACUUGAACGCAAAUGGCGGCUUCGGGUAUUCCUGGAGCCACGUUCGCCUGAGGGUCGACAAAUUAUAAAUAAAAUUUAACAGGCAUCGUUAAAAUGACUGUUCAAAUUUGGGCUUCGCAUUCUUAACCGAUGCGGCCUCAAGUCUACUGUGAAAUUGUGCAUUGACAACCGAAAUAUGUUGGCAAAUGCUCAUAAAUUCAUUUCACGACCUCAGACGAGCGGGACUGCCCGCUGAAUUUAA